GACGAACGCUGGCGGCGUGCUUAACACAUGCAAGUCGAGCGGUAAGGCCUUUCGGGGUACACGAGCAGCGAACGGGUGAGUAACACGUGGGUGAUCUGCCCUGCACUUCGGGAUAAGCCUGGGAAACUGGGUCUAAUACCGGAUAUGACCUCCUAUCGCAUGGUGGGUGGUGGAAAGAUUUAUCGGUGCAGGAUGGGCCCGCGGCCUAUCAGCUUGUUGGUGGGGUAAUGGCCUACCAAGGCGACGACGGGUAGCCGACCUGAGAGGGUGACCGGCCACACUGGGACUGAGACACGGCCCAGACUCCUACGGGAGGCAGCAGUGGGGAAUAUUGCACAAUGGGCGAAAGCCUGAUGCAGCGACGCCGCGUGAGGGAUGACGGCCUUCGGGUUGUAAACCUCUUUCAGCAGGGACGAAGCGCAAGUGACGGUACCUGCAGAAGAAGCACCGGCUAACUACGU
rnacentral:rRNA from 1 species